rnacentral:pre_miRNA from 1 species
UUAGCUCAUAUUUGUAUGGAAUGGGAUCGUUUGCGUACGUUUGCCGUUAGGGGCGCUGUUCCAACUGCAUACAAAAUUGGGUUA